GCCAGAGUCCGCGCUGCGCGCCCGCCGCCGCCCGGAGCCACACGGUGCCGCGCGGCCGCACUUCGGGGCGCGCCCCGGGCCGCGGGCAGAUGAAGAAGCUGAUGUUCCGGUUUCAUUUUCCUUUUAAGGCACUUUAAAGACACCUGUAGUGGGUCAAAUGGUGGCCCCCCAAAAGACAUACCCAUGUCCUAAUCCCAAGAACCUGGGAAUGUUAACUUACUUGGACCAAAGGUCUUUGCAGGUAUCGUUAAGGAUCAUAAGAUGAGGAGAUCAUCCCGAAUUAUCUGGGUGGACCCCAAGUCCAGUGACAGUUGUCUUUAUCCCGGAAAGACAGAGGGUGAUUUGAGACAGAAGAGGAGGAGAAAAAAGGAGAAGCCCAUGUGAAGACAGAGGCAGAGACAGGGCCAUGAGCCAAGAAGUGCCCGGAGCCUCCAGAAGGUGGAAGAGGCACGAAGGAUCCUGCCCCAGAGCCUCGGAAGGGAGUGCAGCCUUGCUGACAUCUGCAUCAUGGACUCUGGCCUGCAGGCUACAAGAGAAUACAUUUCUGCUGUUUUAGGACGUCCAGUCUGUGGUUUGUUACAGCAGCCGCAGGCAAUGAAUAUAGCCCCUAAUUUUUUCCACCCCAGGGAAGGAACCUGAGGUCAGAGAGGUUUAUCCGGGGUGCCAUCCCCCAACUGUCUUUAUACAAUCAGGGCAAGGUCGAGGAGUGGCAACAGAGAUGGUGUG